ncrna:unclassified sequences RAGATH-28 RNA
GCAGACGGUUGAUUCGUCCCGCUGCAGGAAGCCGUGGACAUAGGGAACAGGAACUGAGCAGGAUAACCUGGUCGGGUGGCGGAGC